GGGCUCGUGGCCUAGUCUGGAUAGGGCGACAGGCUUCUAACCUGUAGGUCGGGGGUUCGAAUCCCCUCGGGCCCG
rnacentral:tRNA from 1 species